GUGAAUCAUCGAAUCUUUGAACGCAUAUUGCGCCUGAGGCCUCGGCCGAGGGCAUGUCUGCCUCAGCGUCGGUAUAACCCCAUCACCCACAAACCUUGUGAGUGGACUUGGCAGUCCCAGUCCGGGUCUGCCGAAUUGCAGCAGUUGCUAUCAGGACCCGCCUUAGGCGUGGCCAUUCAGUUUGGUAGGUAACCCCUGGUUGCAUGCCACUGUUGGCCAUUGUGGCUUGUGUAGCAUACUGGCAGGAAACUAAGGGCCUCGAGCCCUUUCUCAUUUCGACCUGAGGUCAGGCAAGAUUAC
rnacentral:misc_RNA from 1 species